rnacentral:lncRNA from 1 species
AGCCGUUACUGCUUCGCACCUGCCGUGAGCACUUCUGGAGUUCGUAGCAGGCAGGCUUCCAGCAGCGAAAAUAAGCACAGCAAAAACUUUCUGUUCAAAACUGAAGCUCCAGGGCUGGGCGUAGCUCAGAAGUAGAGUGUUUACCUCUUGGGGAUGAGACCCUGGGCUCAAUACUCAGUGUCACAAAAGAAAAAAGUCUUACUGGCCCUGAAUUAAAAACCACCUCACAAGGAAAACCAGUGCCAGAGGCUGUUGCCAGUCAACCUGUCAAUCAUUUAAGAAAAAAAUGCCCAUCCCACACAAUGCUCGUUUAAAAAGAGUGCUGCUGGUGCUUUUUACGACACCAGUAUCACUCUGGUAGCAAAACAAGAUCAAAGACAGGAAACUAAGGACAUUAGUGAACUUAGACACCAAAAUCUUUUGUAGAAAAUAACUGAUGGGAGAAGGUUCCAGAGGCAGGGAGAGCUCAGCUGAUAAAGCGCUUGCCUGGCAAGUACAAAGAGCUCAGUUUGAUCUCCAGAACCAACAAAAAUACGCGCUUAUGGGCUGGAGAGAUGGCUCAGUGGUUAAGAGCACUGGCUGCUCUUCCAGAGGACCCGGGUUCAAUUCCCAGCACCCACGUGACAACUCACAACUAUCUAAACUCCAGUUCCAGGGAAUCGAACUCCCUCAAAGACAUACAUGUAGGCAAAAAACAACAAAGCACAUAAAAUUAAAACAAAAUUUUUUUUUUUUUUUUUAAUGUGCUCUUGUAAUCCCAGCUCUAGGGAAGCGGAGAUAGGAGAAUCCCGAGGUCUCCUGGCCAAGCAGCCUAAUUGGAACUCAAACAAGCAAGACAGCGCGAAGACAAAGCUGAAUUUUUGUGUAUGGUGAAUGCUUCUGCCCAGACGGUGCUUCGUUAAAAAGUGGUGUGUACACCUGUGAUCACAGCAUUCAGUAAGCUAAGACAGAAAAAUUGGAGAGAAUCUGAGACCAGCCUGGACUACACGGUGAGAAUGGUCUUGAAGAGGAGGGGUAAAAGGAGAAAAGAA